rfam:Cellulophaga algicola DSM 14237, complete genome.
AUAACCACGAGUUGGUAUAGUAGAGAAGUCAGCCGAAGUCAUAGUACUCAUCGGAAACGAGUUGCAGUAAACUGCAUAGGUCUCACAAGUGGGGAAGGAC